rnacentral:rRNA from 1 species
AUUGAACGCUAGCGGCAGGCCUAACACAUGCAAGUCGAGCGAGUGGCGGACGGGUGAGUAAUGUAUCGGAACGUGCCCAGUAGCGGGGGAUAACUACUGGAAAGAGUGGCUAAUACCGCAUACUAUUGGAUGGGCCGAUAUGGGAUUAGCUAGUUGGUGGGGUAAAGGCUCACCAAGGCAACGAUCCCUAGCUGGUUUGAGAGGAUGACCAGCCACACUGGGACUGAGACACGGCCCAGACUCCUACGGGAGGCAGCAGUGGGGAAUAUUGGACAAUGGGGGAAAGCCUGAUCCAGCCAUGCCGCGUGUAUGAGAAGGCCUUAGGGUUGUAAAGUACUUUUGGCAGGGAGGCGUUACCUGCAGAAUAAGCACCGGCUAACUACGUGCCAGCAGCCGCGGUAAUAC